AGGCGACGACGGGUAGCCGGCCUGAGAGGGUGACCGGCCACACUGGGACUGAGACACGGCCCAGACUCCUACGGGAGGCAGCAGUGGGGAAUAUUGCACAAUGGGCGCAAGCCUGAUGCAGCGACGCCGCGUGAGGGAUGACGGCCUUCGGGUUGUAAACCUCUUUCAGCAGGGAUGAAGCGUAAGUGACGGUACCUGCAGAAGAAGCACCGGCUAACUAUGUGCCAGCAGCCGCGGUAAUACGUAGGGUGCGAGCGUUGUCCGGAAUUACUGGGCGUAAAGAGCUCGUAGGCGGUUUGUCACGUCGUCUGUGAAAUCCUAGGGCUUAACCCUGGACGUGCAGGCGAUACGGGCUGACUUGAGUACUACAGGGGAGACUGGAAUUUCUGGUGUAGCGGUGGAAUGCACAGAUAUCAGGAAGAACACCGAUGGCGAAGGCAGGUCUCUGGGUAGUAACUGACGCUGAGGAGCGAAAGCAUGGGUAGCGAACAGGAUUAGAUACCCUGGUAGUCCAUGCCGUAAACGGUGGGCGCUAGGUGUGGGGUUCCUUCCACGGGCUCCGCGCCGUAGCUAACGCAUUAAGCGCCCCGCCUGGGGAGUACGGCCGCAAGGCUAAAACUCAAAGAAAUUGACGGGGGCCCGCACAAGCGGCGGAGCAUGUGGAUUAAUUCGAUGCAACGCGAAGAACCUUACCUGGGCUUGACAUAUAGAGGAUCGCUACAGAGAUGUGGUUUCCCUUGUGGCUUCUAUACAGGUGGUGCAUGGUUGUCGUCAGCUCGUGUCGUGAGAUGUUGGGUUAAGUCCCGCAACGAGCGCAACCCUUGUCUUAUGUUGCCAGCACGUUAUGGUGGGGACUCGUGAGAGACUGCCGGGGUCAACUCGGAGGAAGGUGGGGAUGACGUCAAAUCAUCAUGCCCCUUAUGUCCAGGGCUUCACACAUGCUACAAUGGCCGG
rnacentral:rRNA from 1 species